rnacentral:rRNA from 1 species
GAUGAACGCUGGCGGCAUGCCUUACACAUGCAAGUCGAACGGCAGCACGGGCUUCGGUCUGGUGGCGAGUGGCGAACGGGUGAGUAAAGUAUCGGAACGUACCAUUGAGUGGGGGAUAACGUAGCGAAAGUUACGCUAAUACCGCAUAUACCCCGAGGGGGAAAGCAGGGGAUCGCAAGACCUUGUGCUCUUUGAGCGGCCGAUAUCAGAUUAGCUAGUUGGUGAGGUAAAGGCUCACCAAGGCGACGAUCUGUAGCGGGUCUGAGAGGAUGAUCCGCCACACUGGGACUGAGACACGGCCCAGACUCCUACGGGAGGCAGCAGUGGGGAAUUUUGGACAAUGGGGGCAACCCUGAUCCAGCCAUGCCGCGUGAGUGAAGAAGGCCUUCGGGUUGUAAAGCUCUUUCGGCCGGGAAGAAAUCGCGCAGGCUAAUAUCCUGUGUGGAUGACGGUACCGGAAUAAGAAGCACCGGCUAACUACGUGCCAGCAGCCGCCGCCG